ensembl:ncRNA F12F6.20 ncRNA
UUCUCAAUUCUUCCACUGGACCUCUCCCAUCUUCUCGUACAUCUUAAAGAUAUACACGCAAGUACUUAUUGUCGACUCUUCUCUCGACGAUGUGCCGAUGUGUUGUUCUCUCUAUUUUCGUGGCGCUCCUGCUGCUUCUCCUACUUCUUCUUCUUCUUGCUUCAACGACGCCUGCUGCUGCCGCCGCAUGCCUU